rnacentral:rRNA from 1 species
UACAGAGGUCUCAAGCGUUGUUCGGAUUCAUUGGGCGUAAAGGGUGCGUAGGCGGCGCGGUAAGUCGGGUGUGAAAUCUCGGAGCUUAACUCCGAAACUGCAUUCGAUACUGCCGUGCUUGAGGACUGGAGAGGAGACUGGAAUUUACGGUGUAGCGGUGAAAUGCGUAGAUAUCGUAAGGAAGACCAGUGGCGAAGGCGGGGUCGUCUGGGCCACUACUGACGCUGAGAAGCGAAAGCAUGGGGAGCGAACAGG